GUGAGGAAUUUUCCGCAAUGGGCGAAAGCCUGACGGAGCAAUGCCGCGUGAAGGAUGAAGGCCUAUGGGUUGUAAACUUCUUUUCUCAGAAAAGAAUUAUGACGGUAUCUGAGGAAUAAGCAUCGGCUAACUCUGUGCCAGCAGCCGCGGUAAGACAGAGGAUGCAAGCGUUAUCCGGAAUGAUUGGGCGUAAAGCGUCUGUAGGUUGUUUAAAAAGUAUUCUGUCAAAGAUUAAGGCUUAACCCUAGAUAGGCAGAAUAAACUUUUAAGCUAGAGUUUGGUAGAGGCAGGGGGAAUUCACGGUGGAGCGGUGAAAUGCGUAGAUAGCGGGAGGAACACCAAAGGCGAAGGCACUCUGCUGGGCCAAUACUAACACUGAGAGACGAAAGCGAGGGGAGCAAAUGGGAUUAGAUACCCGGGUAGUCC
rnacentral:rRNA from 1 species